UCCGGUUUGACACCGGCAGUCUCCUAUGAGUCCCCGACAUAACUCGCUGGCAACAUAGGACAGGGGUUGCGCUCGUUGCGGGACUUAACCCAGCAUCUCACGACACGAGCUGACGACAGCCAUGCACCACCUGUGAUGAGGUCCUAAGAAGCCGUGUUUCCACGGUUGUCCCCAACAUGUCAAGCCCAGGUAAGGUUCUUCGCGUUGCGUCGAAUUAAACCACAUGCUCCGCUGCUUGUGCGGGUCCCCGUCAAUUCCUUUGAGUUUUAGCCUUGCGGCCGUACUCCCCAGGCGGGAUGCUUAAUGCGUUAGCUUCGGCACGGACGGAGUCGACACCGCCCACACCUAGCAUCCAUCGUUUACGGCGUGGACUAC
rnacentral:misc_RNA from 1 species